CCGUUGGGGGGCACUUUUCACACCUCUUUUAGGCUCGUGGUAAUCCCCCGGAGAUAAGAUAACUUUUAUUCCUUCACUUGAACACCUUACUUCUUUUCCUCUCUCCUUUUCCCCCCGUUGCGGUUAUAACUCUUCUUUCAUUUAUAUUUAUUAUCCUGGUGGUACUGAGAUAAGGAGUUAGUCGUGAGAAUAUGUAAGGUAAAACUCUGCUAUAAGAUGGGUUACGAAAGGCUAGAUUAGGACAGGUUAGGGAAAAUCAGGAUGGUAUGUGGGUAGGUGGGUGGGUAGGCAGGCAGUCAGGUUGGUAGGUUGGUUAGUAGGUAGGCAGGCAGUCAGGUAGGUAGGUUGGUUAGUAGGUAGGCAGGCAGUCAGGUAGGUAGGUUCGUUAGUAGGUAGGCAGGCAGUCAGGUAGGUAGGUUCGUUAGUAGGUAGGCAGGCAGUCAGGUAGGUAGGUUGGUUAGUAGGUAGGCAGGCAGUCAGGUAGGUAGGUUGGUUAGUAGGUAGGCAGGUUGGCAGGCAGGUAGGCUGGCGGUCGGGCAAGCAGGAAAGCGAGCGGACGGUCGGGGUAAUGAUAGAGGUAUUGGUUUUCGAAAUGACAGAUUGCUAGAUAGGUGGAAGGAGGAAGACGAGGAGGAGGAGGAGGAGGAAUGGGGUUAAGGAGGAGGAGAAGGAGCGGAGGGAGAUGAUGAUGAUGAUGAUGAUGAUGAUGAUGAUGAUGAAGAAAUGACAUCAUGGCAGUGGUAAUAUUCAUAAUAGUUUGUUGACGCAGUUUGAAAUAGUAAGAUAAAUGUGUCGAUGUUUCUCCGUAGAGUGUUAGUGUUUAGGUGCGCGCUUGCAAACACACACACACACACACACACACACACACACACACACACACACACACACACACACACACACACACACACACACACACACA